CCCGGGUCUUGUACACACCGCCCGUCAAGCCACCUGAGUUGAUUGCACCCGAAAACGUUUCUUCUAACCCGCAAGGGAGGGAGGCGCCUAAGGUGUGGCCGGCGAGGAGGGCU
rnacentral:rRNA from 1 species